rnacentral:piRNA from 1 species
UGAUAUACGAAUUUAUUGAUGGUU